rnacentral:rRNA from 1 species
GUGAAACCGCGAAUGGCUCAUAUAUCAGUUUUGGUUCCUUAGAUCGUACACAGUUACUUGGAUAACUGUGGCAAUUCUAGAGCUAAUACAUGCAAACGAGGUCCCGACCGGCAACGGGAGGGAUGCUUUUAUUAGAUCAAAAACCAAUCGGCGGCGGGGUUCGCGCCCCGUCCGUCGCCAUUCGAGAUGACUCUAGAUAACUUUGAGCUGAUCGCACGGUCUAGCACCGGCGACGCAUCUUUCAAAUGUCUGCCUUAUCAACUGUCGAUGGUAGUUUAUGCGACUACCAUGGUUGUCACGGGUAACGGGGAAUCAGGGUUCGAUUCCGGAGAGGGAGCCUGAGAAACGGCUACCACAUCCACGGAAGGCAGCAGGCGCGCAAAUUACCCACUCCCGGCACGGGGAGGUAGUGACGAAAAAUAACGAUACGGGACUCGUCCGAGGCCUCGUGAUCGGAAUGAGUACAAUUUAAAUCCUUUAACGAGGAUCCAUUGGAGGGCAAGUCUGGUGCCAGCAGCCGCGGUAAUUCCAGCUCCAAUAGCAUAUACUAAAGUUGUUGCGGUUAAAAAGCUCGUAGUUGAAAUUGUGUUCCGCGGCAUCUGUCUGCCUUUGCGGUAUGACGGGUGCGUCUGCGGGAUUUCUCGCCGGUGCGUGUUCUUCGCCUUGGUCUCGCACUUGUGUGGGGUCGAGGCGGGCCCUCGCGGCUGUUUACCUUGAACAAAUUAGAGUGCUCAAAGCGGUAUAUUGUACGCAUGGAAUAAUAGGAUAGGACCUCGGUUCUGUUUUGUUGGCUUUCUGAUACCAGAGGUAAUGAUUAAUAGGGACAACUGGGGGCAUUCGUAUUGCGACGUUAGAGGUGAAAUUCUUGGAUCGUCGCAAGACGGACUAAAGCGAAAGCAUUUGCCAAAGGUGUUUUCAUUAAUCAAGAACGAAAGUUAGAGGUUCGAAGGCGAUUAGAUACCGCUGUAGUUCUAACCAUAAAUGAUGCCAGCCAGCGAUCCGCCGAAGUUUCAUAAUUUUAACCCGGUGGGCAGCUC